rnacentral:rRNA from 1 species
GACGAACGCUGGCGGCGUGCUUAACACAUGCAAGUCGAACGGAAAGGCCUCUUUCGGGGGGUACUCGAGUGGCGAACGGGUGAGUAACACGUGAGUAACCUGCCCUUGACUUUGGGAUAACUUCAGGAAACUGGGGCUAAUACCGGAUAGGAGCUCCUGCUGCAUGGUGGGGGUUGGAAAGUUUCGGCGGUUGGGGAUGGACUCGCGGCUUAUCAGCUUGUUGGUGGGGUAGUGGCUUACCAAGGCUUUGACGGGUAGCCGGCCUGAGAGGGUGACCGGCCACAUUGGGACUGAGAUACGGCCCAGACUCCGACGGGGGGCAGAAGUGGGGAAUAUUGCACAAUGGGUGGAAGCCUGAUGCAGCAACGCCGUGUGCGGGAUGACGGCCUUCGGGUUGUAAACCGCUUUCGCUCAUGACGAAGCUUUGUGUGACGGUAGUGGGUAAAGAAGCACCGGCUAACUACGUG